UGUUGGUUAGGUGUCAUACUGUGACAUCACUUACAGAGAGAGCCUCAAGCCUCAACCCAAGCACAGGAAGUUAGUCGCCUGCUGCCUCAGUCCACUCAAGCAACUGAAGCAGCAGCAGCAGCAGCGGUGGAAACCGAGGUGGAGCAGCACAAGCAACAGGGGUGGUGAAAGCAGCCCCCAUCCCUGCCCGAGUUCUCUCCCCUUCGUCUGAACCGGUGUACCUAGACUGAACAGAGAAGUCCGUGGAGACUCCAGCGUGCAGGUCAACAACUUUCCAUAAUGUGAUAGGGACUGUUUAAUCCAUGCUAAAAUAUGGGUAAAUAGUAGACUCUACUAUAAUAAGCAAGAAAUGAAUGACAUCCAUACAUAAACGGAUAAAUGACCAAUAAGCGAACGCUUCACUUUUUAAGAAACGCCGAGGAAACUUGAGAAAAAAAUUAAGCUUAUUAAAUUUGCACAGACAAUCAGGAUCACCCCCAUGAGUUGAUCCUGGUGAAGCGAUCAGGAAGUAAUAGGCACG
ensembl:lncRNA